GUUACUUGGUGACGGCGAUGGCGGAGCAGCUACGAGAGAAAGAGACCACGGAGAGAAUGCCAGAGAAAGCCCAGAGAAAAGCGUGUAUAGAGAUUCAAAGGGGGCUCAAGUUGCUGUCUCCCAGCUGGUGUGCUUCCCCUAACCUGUAGGGAUGGUGCCACGGGCUCCGACUUUCUCUUUCAAGUCUCUAGAACUGAUGGUGAACCCACCCGGCCUGAGAUGGUCGCAAAACAAGCUAUUCCAAACGCAUGAUGCUGCUGCUGUUGACGGCAGGAGAACAACAGUGCCUGGUGUGAAUACAAUACGCAUUUUUCCCAUGUGGCUCUGAACUCUGCUUAGGAAACUAUCUUUGGCAGUAUUUGUGAGGAUUGCCAGCUUCAGCCAAGCAACCAUUCACUUGAACGAAGGAGAAGCCCAGUGGAGAAUGUAAAGUUGGCGAGCAGUUGGACUAGAGAUACCAGGGGCUUCGCAGAGGCUUUCCUUAAGGAUUUCUAAACAAAGGCAAAAGUUUCAGAAACUCCAAAUGAUGUGAUAAGAGUUUCCAAUAGACGCACUGAUUACUGCUUAUCAGAACUGAAGUUUUAAAUCAGAUUGAAUCUUUCUCACCAAUUUAAAAACUUAGAAAAUGGGACACUAAAUUUUGAAGUUGCAUGAAGUUGUGUUCUAUCCAAUUCAAAAGGAGAUCCAGUUAGUAAUGGCACAGCAUCCAGGGGAACAGUAGCUCUACCUAAUCAGUGAAAGAAGACAUUCCAAUUGAAAAAAGUCAAGAAUUACAAGUAUGAGCAUAUUACUUGAGACAUGAUGGUGACUGCCAAGGGAAUAUAAGUUAUCACAAGUUUACUUUAUAUUAAUAUCCCAGUACUAUUUAAGUUUUAAACUUAAUGUAUAUGUUACUUAUAAACUAAAU